rnacentral:rRNA from 1 species
GCCAGCAGCCAUAUCACCCUGCAGCACUUAAUUAGAAACGCACUGAAGCUAAGCAGGUGUGAGCCUAAUAAGUACCUGGAUGGAGACCUCCUGGAAAAAACUAAAGUUGCUGCUGGAA